rnacentral:lncRNA from 1 species
AGGAGCACCAAGGUCCAAGCACGACCGGGCAAAAUUGGUUCUCUUUAGUCUUUGCUCUAUUCUCGUUACACGACAAUGAGCAAAGAGGGGCAGCUGUAAGGCCCAAUAUUUGCCCGGCCCACAUACAUUGCAAAAAAACCAAAAAAUAAUAAACAAAAUUCAGUCUAUCAUAACAGUCCAUAUUACAAAGUUUGACCCAAAUAUCACCUAACCAUCAGCCCAAAUUACCAGCCCAAAAUUAAACCCAUUAGUCACUAACCCAAAAGACCCA